rnacentral:rRNA from 1 species
GAUGAACGCAGGCGGCGUGCCUAAUACAUGCAAGUCGAGCGAACGGACGAGAAGCUUGCUUCUCUGAUGUUAGCGGCGGACGGGUGAGUAACACGUGGAUAACCUACCUAUAAGACUGGGAUAACUUCGGGAAACCGGAGCUAAUACCGGAUAAUAUUUUGAACCGCAUGGUUCAAAAGUGAAAGACGGUCUUGCUGUCACUUAUAGAUGGAUCCGCGCUGCAUUAGCUAGUUGGUAAGGUAACGGCUUACCAAGGCAACGAUGCAUAGCCGACCUGAGAGGGUGAUCGACCACACUGGAACUGAGACACGGUCCGGACUCCUACGGGAGGCAGCAGUAGGGAAUCUUCCGCAAUGGGCGAAAGCCUGACGGAGCAACGCCGCGUGAGUGAUGAAGGUCUUCGGAUCGUAGAACUCUGUUAUUAGGGAAGAACAUAUGUGUAAGUAACUGUGCACAUCUUGACGGUACCUAAUCAGAAAGCCACGGCUAACUACGUG